GGGGGGCGGCGACAGGCUUGCGCAUGCGCACUUACCGCCAACAUUUGAAAAGAAUACCGUUUGCGUUGCGUUGCAGUUUAUUGAGCUCGAUCGAGAAGUGGGACGAAGAAGGCCGUUAAUAAUUCAACUACUUAAAGAAUGCGGGUUAGAUGUGGACGACUUCGAAGACAUUUGCAGUAGGCUAAACAGAGAAAGAGAGGGAGACCCAAAACUACUUGUCCUGGCAUCACAUUUGAGGAGGAGAUGAAGUCGGUGAAUAUGACCUAGCCCGGGGGAGUUUCCAGAAGACGGCCCAGAACCACUGGCCGCCAGGAGUGGAGGUCCUUUGUUGUUGCUCUACAUGUCAGGAGGCAUCGGGCAGUAGCCUUGGUAGAAGCACCAUCUUGAUACCAUCAUUCAAACUCUCAUCAGCUGUAUCAUUAUAGGUGGACUAAAAGAACAAUAUUCAUGCAGAUAUAAUGAUGCCUUAAGUUGAAAUGGAAGGUGUCCUGAAUCUGCACCCAUUCAUCUGGUUUCGUAACUCCUUUCAUAGUGCUAUUGGAACCUGCUCCCUACCAGUAUAACAUCAAACAGAUUGGAAGAAUAAAGGCCAAUGGGAAGUGCCUUUUAUAUUUCUACUUGCCACAAAGCAGUCCAUGGUUUAGCGCUAUCUAAACUGGACUAUUGUAAUGCUCUUCGUGCUUGAAUUAGGGCGAUCUGGACUGACUGCAUAUAGUACAGAAUGCUGCAUCUAUUGUGCCAUUUGCCAUACGCCAACUUCGCUGGCUGCAAGUCAAGGAAAGGAUAUACAUGAACAUCAGUGUCCGUCUCCUGAUUUUCAAAGUCAUUGACAGAGAUCCAGAUUACAUGUUUUAUAAGGAAUCCCUUGUGCGUCAUUUUCAUUCUAGGCGCACUUGCCUUUUUAUUUUUGUGAUCAUUACGCACCUACGAAUUAGCUACUGGUGAUGCAACUUUCUCCACUACUGCUCCAAGGCCGUGGAAUUAGCUCCUUCCUCUCCUCCAGUUGUCAACAACCUUGGAUCAAUCCAAAUACAAUUUGAGAAGACCUACCAUCCUGAUCUUUGCUCUGUACUUACAACAAUACUGUCACUGUCUGGUACUUUGAAUUUUUUUAAAUCUCAUGCGCUUUGUAUCUCGCAAAAUAACGUGUUGUGUAAAAGCGAACAUGCAUUGAGGUCAAGUUUAAGGGUAACCAUGGAUAUUGCCUGUUAUUACUUUUUAACAAAACUGAAAAAUUCAUCCAAAUUAGACAAGGGAUAAUAAAGUAAUGUAUGACAUUCUAACCUCUGCAUUAUUUUGGUGAAAGAGCUCUAAGCAUAUAUGCAAGUAGCAAGCUGAUGAUGUCAUACUGACGUACAUUGUACAUGUACACGUAUCCCCAACUUAUUAUUUUGUAUAUAAAAUUGUGCAUUUAAUUUUGUUUACCAAGAAUGAAACAAAUCGGAUUGUAAACUGUAUUGAUGUGACUUACCUGUAUUGAUUAAUGCUGGAAGUUCUUUUGCUACAUGGGAUUGGAAGACAUACUUAUUACACACAUGAAGUAAAUUAUGAUUUUAUCUGGUAACAUGAGAACAAUAAAAAUGUGGGCAUGAUAUCAUAAACUUACAUGUAUCUACUUGCAUGUGUUGAUGACCAAUAUUUUUGUAAUUAUUUUUUUUUAAAUUUUAUCUGAUUUUGAUAAAAUUUUCACUAUUUUGCAUGGUAAAAAUUACUUUAUUUUAGAUUAUGUUGAGCCCGUAUCAUAUACAAGUACAACUUUAAAGAUAAAUUACCAGUUGUAGUAACAAUCUUAAAAUGAGUUCGAACAGAAUCCAAUAGAAUUACCAGCAAAAUAUAAAAGACAUGUGCCAUAAUUAAUUAUAGCUCGGGAAGAAAAUGUGUAAUUGCUGAGAAAUGAGCAAAAUAAGCAUGUAAUUCUAUCCAAUGUCAGGUAUUUUUCAAAUCAAUCAUAAUACACUGUCCUGUCCCACAUGUUCUUUUCUGUGUUAGUGAUCAUCAAAAUAAUUAAUUUUAAGUUCAAAAUUAGUGAUUUUACAAAAAUACAAGCUUACAUUAAUGUACCAGAUCUAGAGAUUAUGUACAAUAUUUUGACAAUUUCUCAUGAAAUAAUUGUUUGCUGCAACUGCUGUCUUUUUAAUACGUUUAAGUGAUAGUGUAAUACAACCACAAACUUUUCUUAAGAAUUAAUGUACAUGUAUGAUUCUUUCACCCAAAUUUACAUGCAUUGAUACUGUUGACUACUUGCCAAAAGUUCCUGCCAAAAGCCUUUUUUAACGAUGUACAUGCUUUUAUAGACGACCUGCCAAAACAUUGUAUUGUAUUAUAUUCAAGGUCCAACCAAAAAGAGAUGAAUAAAAUGUUUGAAGGAAAUUGAAAUUAACUUUAAAAAUGAUAGAGCUCUGUCAAUGCGGUAUUAUUACAGGGUUCCCACAGUCAUGGAAAAUCCUGGAAAAAAAAUUGGUCAUGGAAAGUCAGGGAUAUGUGAAAAGUCAUGGAAUUGCAUUUACCUCUUGGCUAUGACAGCUUUCUAGUUUUUUAUGUCUCACAACUCUCAUACUCUGUGAUUGUACUCUACUAUUAUAAUUGGUGUUCAUGAUCAUAACAUGUCUGAUUUUGUAAACUGUGCCAGAAAGGAAUUAAGUCAUGGAGAGGUCAUGGAAUUCUGUUUUCAAAUUUCUGUGGGAACCAUGAAUAGGUUUGUGCACUUGACACAGUGUGCACUACAGAUGAACUUUGUAAUGCCAUGAUAUAAACCAGUACAAUAUCUUAAAGGAAAAUAAAACCCAAAAUAUAAUACCACAUGAUACCAUUGAUAAAUACAGGACAAUGAAAAUGAAUCCACUCAUAUACCCCCAAUCCGAUGUCCCAGUAUGGAGUACCACCUUUUCAAAGUUGGCAUCUUCUGGUACAAAGUCUAUGGAUGGGGAUUAUUCCGUCAGCGACGAACUACAUCUCUAAACGUUUGGGCAUUAUAUAUUCUAUUUCAUCGAUAAUAAAUCAAAUGUACAGAUAAAACUCGUAAAAUAUUAAUUAAAAUUUGUUUAAUAUUAUAUGAUAGGUUCAAAUUACGACUUGAUGAGUUUUAAUGAUAAAAAUUACACCCUAAUCUACGAUUUACAAAUUGGCAGCGGAAAUUGGGGUGUAAAUCUUAUCAUUAAAACUCAUCAAAUUGUAUUUUGAACCUACCAUAUAUUAAACAAAUUUUAACUAAUAUUUUUAUGAGUUUUAUCUGUACAUUUGAUUUGUUAUUGAUAAAAUAGAAUAUAUAAUGCCUAAAGGUUUAGAGAUGUAGUUCGUCGCUGAUGUAAUAAUUUCCUAACUAACCCUGCGAAAAUGGCGACCUCCAUCCAGAAACUUCGAACCAUACUGUAAGAGGCCAACUUUGAAAAGGUGGUACUCCGUAAUUGGAUUAGGGUAUGAGUGGAUUCAUGUUGAUUGUCCUGUAUUUAUCAAUAAUAUCAUGUGGUAUUAUGUUUUGGGUGUUAUUUUCCUUUAAUUCAGAUAUUACAUGCCAGGGUAUUGUCCUAGUUUUCAUUUUCUCCAAAUACAUAUUAUCAUCUCUCGUCUAUUUCUACUUGCCCUUCAGCCUUGAAGUAAACUUGGGAUAAUUAUGCAUUUUGUUAUACGCAAUUUUGAGUACAGUGCACUUUGCCGCAGCUACUUAUAUGAUAUUACCUAUUGUAGACACAUCCUUAUGUUUUGUUCAUUUUCUUAAAAACGAUUAAGAGUUUAAUCAUUUUUGUCUUUAAGCAUAAAACAGAGUAAAUCAGUCCAUUCUGUAUGUGUGACCUGCAAAAAAACUACAAUGGUCGUUAAUUUGGUUUGCUGAAAAGCCAGAUAACUUUUGAGGUAACUUUUUAAAGUAUUUAGAAGAAAUGUAUCUUUUUUUAAAGUAUUUAUAUGCACUGUAACUAAUUUCUUUGAUAGUUACUAUUAUGUUACACUGUUUGUACAGUAAAGCAGCUGUUACACAAUUUUUGUCAAUAGCAAAUCUAAACCAGUAUUGUAAAUUGAUGACUCUAUGAGCUAAAUACCAGUACUUUCUAUAUCACUUGUAAAA